CAGGCCUAACACAUGCAAGUCGAACGCCCCGCAAGGGGAGUGGCAGACGGGUGAGUAACACGUGGGAACGUGCCCUACGGUUCGGGAUAACUCUGGGAAACUAGAGCUAAUACCGGAUACGUGCGAGAGCAGAAAGAUUUAUCGCCGUAGGAUCGGCCCGCGUCUGAUUAGCUAGUUGGUGAGGUAAUGGCUCACCAAGGCGACGAUCAGUAGCUGGUCUGAGAGGAUGAUCAGCCACACUGGGACUGAGACACGGCCCAGACUCCUACGGGAGGCAGCAGUGGGGAAUAUUGGACAAUGGGCGAAAGCCUGAUCCAGCCAUGCCGCGUGAGUGAUGACGGCCUUAGGGUUGUAAAGCUCUUUUACCCGGGAAGAUAAAGACGGUACCGGGGGAAUAAGCUCCGGCUAACUCCGUGUCUGC
rnacentral:rRNA from 1 species